rnacentral:rRNA from 1 species
AGCGCAGGUGGUUGUAUAAGUCUGAAGUAAAAGGCAGUGGCUCAACCAUUGUGUGCUUUGGAAACUGUACAACUUGAGUGCAGAAGGGAGAGUGGAAUUCCAUGUGUAGCGGUGAAAUGCGUAGAUAUAUGGAGGAACACCGGUGGCGAAAGCGGCUCUCUGGUCUGUAACUGACACUGAGGCUCGAAAGGCGUGGGGAAGCAAACA